rnacentral:rRNA from 1 species
GAUGAACGCUGGCGGCGUGCCUAAUACAUGCAAGUCGAGCGAACGGACGAGAAGCUUGCUUCUCUGAUNGUUAGCGGCGGACGGGUGAGUAACACGUGGAUAACCUACCUAUAAGACUGGGAUAACUUCGGGAAACCGGAGCUAAUACCGGAUAAUAUUUUGAACCGCAUGGUUCAAAAGUGAAAGACGGUCUUGCUGUCACUUAUAGAUGGAUCCGCGCUGCAUUAGCUAGUUGGUAAGGUAACGGCUUACCAAGGCAACGAUGCAUAGCCGACCUGAGAGGGUGAUCGGCCACACUGGAACUGAGACACGGUCCAGACUCCUACGGGAGGUAGCAGUAGGGAAUCUUCCGCAAUGGGCGAAAGCCUGACGGAGCAACGCCGCGUGAGUGAUGAAGGUCUUCGGAUCGUAAAACUCUGUUAUUAGGGAAGAACAUAUGUGUAAGUAACUGUGCACAUCUUGACGGUACCUAAUCAGAAAGCCACGGCUAACUACGUGCCAGCAGCCGCGGUAAUACGUAGGUGGCAAGCGUUAUCCGGAAUUAUUGGGCGUAAAGCGCGCGUAGGCGGUUUUUUAAGUCUGAUGUGAAAGCCCACGGCUCACCCGUGGAGGGUCAUUGGAAACUGGAAAACUUGAGUGCAGAAGAGGAAAGUGGAAUUCCAUGUGUAGCGGUGAAAUGCGCAGAGAUAUGGAGGAACACCAGUGGCGAAGGCGACUUUCUGGUCUGUAACUGACGCUGAUGUGCGAAAGCGUGGGGAUCAAACAGGAUUAGAUACCCUGGUAGUCCACGCCGUAAACGAUGAGUGCUAAGUGUUAGGGGGUUUCCGCCCCUUAGUGCUGCAGCUAACGCAUUAAGCACUCCGCCUGGGGAGUACGACCGCAAGGUUGAAACUCAAAGGAAUUGACGGGGACCCGCACAAGCGGUGGAGCAUGUGGUUUAAUUCGAAGCAACGCGAAGAACCUUACCAAAUCUUGACAUCCUUUGACAACUCUAGAGAUAGAGCCUUCCCCUUCGGGGGACAAAGUGACAGGUGGUGCAUGGUUGUCGUCAGCUCGUGUCGUGAGAUGUUGGGUUAAGUCCCGCAACGAGCGCAACCCUUAAGCUUAGUUGCCAUCAUUAAGUUGGGCACUCUAAGUUGACUGCCGGUGACAAACCGGAGGAAGGUGGGGAUGACGUCAAAUCAUCAUGCCCCUUAUGAUUUGGGCUACACACGUGCUACAAUGGACAAUACAAAGGGCAGCGAAACCGCGAGGUCAAGCAAAUCCCAUAAAGUUGUUCUCAGUUCGGAUUGUAGUCUGCAACUCGACUACAUGAAGCUGGAAUCGCUAGUAAUCGUAGAUCAGCAUGCUACGGUGAAUACGUUCCCGGGUCU